rnacentral:rRNA from 1 species
GGCCUAACACAUGCAAGUCGAACGAUAGAUAGAAGCUUGCUUUUAUCGAAAGUGGCGCACGGGUGCGUAACGCGUAUGCAACCUACCUUAAUCUGGGGGAUAGCCCGGAGAAAUCCGGAUUAACACCGCAUAAAAACACAGGAUAGCAUUAUCCAAUGUUCAAAUAUUUAUAGGAUUGAGAUGGGCAUGCGUGUCAUUAGCUAGUUGGCGGGGUAACGGCCCACCAAGGCGACGAUGACUAGGGGAUCUGAGAGGAUGGCCCCCCACACUGGUACUGAGACACGGACCAGACUCCUACGGGAGGCAGCAGUAAGGAAUAUUGGUCAAUGGAGGCAACUCUGAACCAGCCAUGCCGCGUGCAGGAAGACUGCCCUAUGGGUUGUAAACUGCUUUUAUCCGGGAAUAAACCUACUUACGUGUAAGUAGCUGAAUGUACCGGAAGAAUAAGGA